AUUGAACGCUGGCGGCAGGCCUAACACAUGCAAGUCGAGCGGGGGUAGCAAUACCCUAGCGGCGAACGGGUGAGGAAUGCUUGGGAAUCUGCCUCGUAGUGGGGGAUAACGUUCCGAAAGGAACGCUAAUACCGCAUACGUCCUACGGGAGAAAGGGGGGGAUCUUCGGACCUCUCGCUAUGAGAUGAGCCCAAGCGGGAUUAGCUAGUUGGUGAGGUAAAGGCUCACCAAGGCUACGAUCCCUAGCUGGUCUGAGAGGAUGAUCAGCCACACUGGAACUGAGACACGGUCCAGACUCCUACGGGAGGCAGCAGUGGGGAAUAUUGGACAAUGGGCGAAAGCCUGAUCCAGCCAUGCCGCGUGUGUGAAGAAGGCCUCGGGUU
rnacentral:rRNA from 1 species